UACGUAGGGUGCAAGCGUUAAUCGGAAUUACUGGGCGUAAAGCGUGCGCAGGCGGUUUUGUAAGUCUGUCGUGAAAUCCCCGGGCUCAACCUGGGAAUUGCGAUGGAGACUGCAAGGCUAGAGUUUGGCAGAGGGGGGCAGAAUUCCACGUGUAGCAGUGAAAUGCGUAGAUAUGUGGAGGAACACCGAUGGCGAAGGCAGCCCCCUGGGUCAAGACUGACGCUCAUGCACGAAAGCGUGGGGAGCAAACAGG
rnacentral:rRNA from 1 species